rnacentral:rRNA from 1 species
GGGUGGAUUAGUGGCGAACGGGUGAGUAACACGUGAGUAACCUGCCCUUAACUCUGGGAUAAGCCUGGGAAACUGGGUCUAAUACCGGAUAUGACUCCUCAUCGCAUGGUGGGGGGUGGAAAGCUUUAUUGUGGUUUUGGAUGGACUCGCGGCCUAUCAGCUUGUUGGUGAGGUAAUGGCUCACCAAGGCGACGACGGGUAGCCGGCCUGAGAGGGUGACCGGCCACACUGGGACUGAGACACGGCCCAGACUCCUACGGGAGGCAGCAGUGGGGAAUAUUGCACAAUGGGCGAAAGCCUGAUGCAGCGACGCCGCGUGAGGGAUGACGGCCUUCGGGUUGUAAACCUCUUUCAGUAGGGAAGAAGCGAAAGUGACGGUACCUGCAGAAGAAGCGCCGGCUAACUACGUGCCAGCAGCCGCGGUAAUACGUAGGGCGCAAGCGUUAUCCGGAAUUAUUGGGCGUAAAGAGCUCGUAGGCGGUUUGUCGCGUCUGCCGUGAAAGUCCGGGGCUCAACUCCGGAUCUGCGGUGGGUACGGGCAGACUAGAGUGAUGUAGGGGAGACUGGAAUUCCUGGUGUAGCGGUGAAAUGCGCAGAUAUCAGGAGGAACACCGAUGGCGAAGGCAGGUCUCUGGGCAUUAACUGACGCUGAGGAGCGAAAGCAUGGGGAGCGAACAGGAUUAGAUACCCUGGUAGUCCAUGCCGUAAACGUUGGGCACUAGGUGUGGGGGACAUUCCACGUUUUCCGCGCCGUAGCUAACGCAUUAAGUGCCCCGCCUGGGGAGUACGGCCGCAAGGCUAAAACUCAAAGGAAUUGACGGGGGCCCGCACAAGCGGCGGAGCAUGCGGAUUAAUUCGAUGCAACGCGAAGAACCUUACCAAGGCUUGACAUGAACCGGAAAUACCUGGAAACAGGUGCCCCGCUUGCGGUCGGUUUACAGGUGGUGCAUGGUUGUCGUCAGCUCGUGUCGUGAGAUGUUGGGUUAAGUCCCGCAACGAGCGCAACCCUCGUUCUAUGUUGCCAGCGCGUUAUGGCGGGGACUCAUAGGAGACUGCCGGGGUCAACUCGGAGGAAGGUGGGGACGACGUCAAAUCAUCAUGCCCCUUAUGUCUUGGGCUUCACGCAUGCUACAAUGGCCGGUACAAAGGGUUGCGAUACUGUGAGGUGGAGCUAAUCCCAAAAAGCCGGUCUCAGUUCGGAUUGGGGUCUGCAACUCGACCCCAUGAAGUCGGAGUCGCUAGUAAUCGCAGAUCAGCAACGCUGCGGUGAAUACGUUCCCGGGCCUUGUACACACCGCCCGUCAAGUCACGAAAGUUGGUAACACCCGAAGCCGGUGGCCUAACCCCUUGUGGGAGGGAG